rnacentral:rRNA from 1 species
AAAGAGAAGCGAAGGAGCGAUCUGAAGCGAAGCUCAAAAAACCAGUCCCAGUUCGGAUUGUAGUCUGCAACUCGACUACAUGAAGCUGGAAUCGCUAGUAAUCGCGAAUCAGAAUGUCGCGGUGAAUACGUUCCCGGGUCUUGUACACACCGCCCGUCAAACCAUGAGAGUCACCAACACCCGAAGUCCGCUUUGGCGGCCUAAGGUGGGGGAGAUGAUUGGGGUUAAGUCGUAACAAGGUAUC